rnacentral:lncRNA from 1 species
AUGUUUGUUGGCUACAUAAAUGUCUUCUUUUUAGAAGUGACUGUUCAUAUCCUUUACCCACUAUUUGAUUUUGUUUUCUUUUGUAGGUUUGCUGAAGUUCUUUGUAGAUUCUGGACAUUAGCUCUUUAUCAGGAGUUCAAGAAAUUCAAAAAUGAUGCCCUACCACUGCUGCCAUUUUCCCACAAUCUGCACAGAUGGUGUUUUCAAACCCCAUCUGCUAUAUCUCCUUGUGACCAAGCAUAUCCUGAAAGAGGGUAAGAGAGGGGUGGGGCAAAAUGGAAGGAAGGUAAGUUUGUUAGAGUGAGAAAUUACAUCUUUUUCUUAUUUCUGUAAAAUGUAUUAUAUACAACUGAUAACAAUUAGCUAUAAAAUGCCUCUUCUCUUCGCUUAUAUUCUCCAUGGUCUUACUGCUCUGUGAACAGGCUCUAUCUUUCAAAUGAGUCGGUUGAGAAUAGAAUGUUAAUUCGUUUGUUUGUUUAGGGACACCAGUUUCAAGUGUCAUGGAGAUAUAUAUAUACAUACAUGCCGUGUUAUAGCAGAUAAGGGACUACUUAAGUCCUUGAUAGAAAAACCCAGGUUCGUACAUGCUUAUUCCAUUAAUAUAGAUGGAAGAGGUCUAAAACUCAAAAAUUACCAUCCAAAAAUAGAAAGCAAAGCUGAGCUCUCUUGUUUUUCUCUUAUUAUUCAUUGAUAUGAGAUUAUUUUAAAGAGUAGUGUUAUUCAACAGAUAGAUGCUGUGCCACAUGUUCUUAGGUACCCUCCUUUAUGAUAAAGUGGCUGGGAAAUUGAUGCAAUACUCAAUUAGCAAAGUCAAGAUGCAUGAUUAAGAGCCUUCUAGGGAGCUGGCCAUGGCCCUGGAAAAGACUGACUUCUUUCUCUUCCUGUACUUAUAAGCUACUGUUUGGAAUAUGAACCUGCUUUGUGAAUUCCUUAAGAACUAGCCUGAAUGAGGAGAGAAC